UUCAGUUCAUUCUACCUUUCCAGUAAAAAAAAAAAAAAAAAAAAAAACUCUUCAGUUCAUCUAGCAAAAUUUGAACUCUUUCAGCUCCCCUUUCCAUCAAUAUAUAAAUUUCUCUUCAGUUCAUUUCUUUUCCUUUCUCUUCCCUCAAUUGCAGCCAAAAAAAGUGUAAAGAUUGAUUGGUUUAUAUAUUGAUGGAUCCACUCUUCCUCUACGAGCUCAUGGACAACAACUCUUUCAUCACUGUCUGGGGUGCUAAGUUUGUGCUUUGCAAUGUUUGAGGGAACUUAGACAUAGAGAGAUUAAAGCUUUCAACUUUACCCAUUGCAAUCGGCGGGACUAAACUCAAGGAGGAAAAACACUGGCUCCUAAUUUAUCAAACCCUUCUUCUGUAUCAAAGAGGUAGAAUGAUCAAUGAGGAAGAAGCUUAAUAAAAAAAAUAAGCUCCUCCACGCAUGUGUAAUCGAAGCAUAGACCCGUGUAUCUGUAUGGGUUGGCUCACAUUCAAAACAUCAAUUGAGGCCAAAAUUUUGUGGAUUCGCAUUGCAAAGAUCCCAAGAGUAAUUAUAUAUUUUAUUUUGAAUCCAUAAUGUUUGAUAAAAUGCUUGAAAGGAAAUUUAUAAAUUUUAUUUCGGACUUGACAAUACUAUUAAUCAUAUUUGUUUGUUCUGUAUUUAGUUGGGGAUUAGAAACAAUUAAAUUGGGAAAAGUUUAUUAAAGCACUUGCAUAUACAUAGCUGCAUUCAUUUUUUUCCCUAUGUUAUAUGCUAAGUAAUCGGUGUUGUUUGGUUCUGAA